rnacentral:rRNA from 1 species
GAUGAACGCUGGCGGCGUGCCUAAUACAUGCAAGUCGAGCGAACAGAUGAGGAGCUUGCUCCUCUGACGUUAGCGGCGGACGGGUGAGUAACACGUGGAUAACCUACCUAUAAGACUGGGAUAACUUCGGGAAACCGGAGCUAAUACCGGAUAAUAUAUUGAACCGCAUGGUUCAAUAGUGAAAGACGGUUUUGCUGUCACUUAUAGAUGGAUCCGCGCCGCAUUAGCUAGUUGGUAAGGUAACGGCUUACCAAGGCAACGAUGCGUAGCCGACCUGAGAGGGUGAUCGGCCACACUGGAACUGAGACACGGUCCAGACUCCUACGGGAGGCAGCAGUAGGGAAUCUUCCGCAAUGGGCGAAAGCCUGACGGAGCAACGCCGCGUGAGUGAUGAAGGUCUUCGGAUCGUAAAACUCUGUUAUUAGGGAAGAACGAAUGUGUAAGUAACUAUGCACGUCUUGACGGUACCUAAUCAGAAAGCCACGGCUAACUACGUG